GGCAUUUCUUUUCUCUACAUUUCUUUCUUUUUGUAUUUUCUUUUCUUUGCUUUUAACUUUGUUUUUAAUCCUGUGAAGCUUUUCGCAAGCUUGUUUUCAGUAUGUGUCAUGAGAAAAGGAGAUUAUUAUCAUGAUUCCAACGGUGCCAAAGGUUUGAUGUUGAUCAGCAGCCAAUUCGUGGGAAAAGAACAUAACGUUUUCAUUGAAGGGGGGAAUUGAGCACGGUCUACGUCGACAAUAUGGAAUGAGAGCAAAGCCCCGGGGAGAAGAGUGGUGGUAGACAGGGCUGCGCAGAAACAAGAGGCUUCUUGGUUUGGCUGUCGGCAUGUGAGCUGGACCAAGAAUCUUCCCUGUCGACAGAUAUGAAACUCAUACAUUCAAGUAAGGACAAUUGGGGCUCAUCAAGUUCAUUCUUUUAUUCACCACCGUGAACACCAAGAAGAACCUCAGCCAGCUUUCGUCAAACAUCCGUGCGCAGUUAGUGUUUUUUUCUUCAUCAGCUACCGUAGAGCAGCCGGUGGGACAACAAGUGGAUGAAGAAAAUUAAAUGAGGGAUGAUGAUGAUGUUCACCUCAUCAACAGACGAAGACUCGACACCAGGCAGCUCCCAGGGGUCACCGUGGAAGUGAAUGCUAACAGAAUGUUGCUGUGUGCGUGCGUGUGUGUGUGUGUGUGUGUGUGUGUGUAUGUGUGUGUGUGUGUGUGUGUGUGCGCGUGCGUGCGUGUGUGUCUGCAGUCAUGAAACAUUUGUAGUUUGUUAUUUGUGGGUCAAUGUUGCAGUUGCACACAUUUAAAAGGAGAAAGAAAAACCCUGCCUGCAGCUUGUGUUUGUCUAGUUGUGUAUCACCACCACACAUUGUCUUCAUCUGUAGCAAUGAGAAACGCCAGCAGUCAACCAACCAGUUAGGUGGACAUUCAGUGAUUAUCACCUUGUUUGAUUGAGAAGAUAGGUUACUGUGAUGAGGAGGAUAUUGGCAAUUUUAACUAACUUUUUUAUGUAUAUAUCUGACUCUGAUUUCUGAAUGUUUGUGUGGCCUGUGGCUCUAUCCUUCUGUUUCCUCAACAAUCUGGUGUUGUACCAAUUUGUCAAGAACCUGUUUGAUUUGACCUCUUCGUCCCAGAGAUAACUGCAAAAACACAACACACAGGCAAAGAGGGCAGCUGUGACAAUGUCAAAGAAAUAUAAACAGUGGC